rnacentral:rRNA from 1 species
GACGAACCGUGCGAACGUUGUUCGGAAUCACUGGGCUUAAAGGGCGCGUAGGCGGCCCGCCGCGUCCGGGGUGAAAUCCUCCCGCUCAACGGGAGGACGGCCUCGGAUACGGGCGGGCUGGAGGGGGGUAGGGGCACGCGGAACUGUGGGUGGAGCGGUGAAAUGCGUUGAGAUCCACAGGAACUCCGGUGGCGAAGGCGGCGCGCUGGACCCCACCUGACGCUGAGGCGCGAAAGCCAGGGGAGCGAACGGG